rnacentral:sRNA from 1 species
GUGUGGCCGCUGCCGCCAUGUUGUUGUGGUUGUGAGAAGGCGGCGGCGGCGGCGGGGUAGCAGCCGGACUAGACUUCCCAGCGGCUCAGCGCUGCCCCGCGCCGGCCCUGGCAGGGAGCCUGGUGGGGUGGCGGAGGAGGAGACUGUGCCGUGGCGGGCCUCGCCAUGUCCUGCUACCCGACUUCCUUGUGAAACCUCCUAGUAGAAAAAGUUAUUGGGACAAACUUCAUUUGACCUCACCAUAAGGGAAAGAAGAGAGCCUUGUUGGACACUGAAGAAGGGACGGGGAUUUCUCCUCCUAAUCUGGGCCUCCUGUCAUGGUUUUGGACUUUUCCAGGAUGAAGAGACUCGGCACAGCCUUGAGUGCAUCCAGGCCAAUCAGAUCUUUCCCAGGAAGCAGCUGAUCCGGGAGGAUGAGAAUCUUCAGGUUCCUUUCCUUGAACUUCAUGGAGAGAGCACA